GAGAGUGGCCCGGCCCGGCCCGGCCCGGCCCGGCCGCGCUUCUCGGCUUUGACUCCCGGCCCUCGGCCCUCUGCCCCAACCCGCACCUCCGUCCCUGCCAACCACGCGCCGAACUCCUCACCGCUCCACUGCCUUCUAUGGAGCACCGGAAAUCAUCCUAAUGGGGCAGACUCUCUUGGCGUUUCGUGGAAGAAUUGAGCGUACUCGUACAAUUGUACUCGUCCAACAUUUAUCAAAGUCUACGAUGUCCUGGGUGCCAGGGGACACAAAUCUGGAAUCGACUUGGACCUUGCCUACCUAGAGAAAUCAAACCUCUGUUUAUCAGAUUUCUUCUCAGACACUUCCUAUUCUUCUCAUAUGGACCCAAGUCCUCCUCCCUACCAGAUCUUCCACGCUACACCCUUGAAAAUCCCAGCCAGUGAGUUGAGCGAUACACAAGCAUUCAAAUUACUGCUGAGCUAAUGAACUAAACAGUACUCUGGCCAUCUCUUGGAACCGUACUCGCCUUACUCAUCUACUUAGAUCCUGAAUCCCGAAGGAAGAGAAAACAGUGUAACAGUAAGCUUCCAUGUUUAAAAGUGAAAACAGUAUAACCAUUUUGGUGUGCCUCAAACCCUUUAAACUGUAAUUCUACUUUAAUUAUGAAAUCUGCACAAAAUAGGAAUUAAUAUAGACUAUGAAAUGGGAGCUGAAAACCACAGCCAAAUUGGCUAUGAAUCGCCUACUUUGGACUCAGCUACUUUAUCGCCCACUUCAAGUCUGCUAAUUUUCUCACUUGUCCCUUUGUUGAAGGAAAAAUGUUUCUCAACAAUAUUCUAAGGGCUCCGUAGAAAUUAAAGUGGGAGGAAUCCGGAUCUCAAGGUCUUUAACAAACAUGCCCACUGCGGCUGCUCGAGGCAAAGCAACGGAAGUUGGAGACUUUGCAACAGCUGCAAGAGUUUCACUGCCCGGCUGGGAGAGUGGUAGCAUGAGCUAGGCUAUCCCUAGCGGGGCGGCGUCCAGCAGCCCGGCCCAGCGUACCGGUCCCUGUGGAGCCCAGGGGCCCAGCUUGCUGACCCGGACGGGUCCCACCUGUUCCCCUUUCCUUCCCCCAAGUCACGGUCCGUCAGGGGAGCAGCGCCGGGGAGCACGACGAGGGCACGAGGACUCCUCUCCUACCCCAUGCUCACCCUUGGUCAACGUGUCCAGCACCCCCGACUUCUCCAAGUACCUCCGGAACUGCUCGCGCUUCGAGUCGGCGGCCUGAGGAGACACGGCGGGUCAGUGGCCAAAGCUCGGGGGCCGGAGCAGGAAGAAGGCGCUGGGAGUCCGGCAACCCCGCCUCCACCUCGCUACCUCAGGCCCCCAAACUUGCGCGCGCGUCCCCACUCCCACCCGGAGCCGACCAGUGGCUGGCUACCGCCCGCACGUCCCCAGCCACGCCGCGCUCCCCUCACUUUGUAAUGAGCCAUAGUGACAGCGGCCGCGGCGUAGCUGGCGCCCGAGACCGUGGCUGGCGGGCUCUGAGCAGCACUGCUCAUGCGCGGAAGGGCGCGCGCGCCUGCGCACCUGCAGAACACGGUUGGGAAUCGCCAGGGUGUGGCCUGUUUUCAUGACGACCAGGACGCUCUGAAUCCCCCAUAGCCGGCUGAGCCGAGGGAGGCUGCGUACGCCCGCCCCUCUGGCCAACGGAGCAGCACCCCCUCUUUCCUUUUCCGGUCCGCGCAGCGGUUCAGUUGCUUAGCGAGGGGCGAGGCUUUAAUGAUUCUGGAGCAGUGUCCAGGUGGACAAGAGAUGGGUGUGGCGCUGGAGCGGAGUCUGCGGAGCCCGCGGAGCACGCGACGUCCUCCGCUGGGGCCCGAGGAAGUAUCUUUCUCAAGUGGGAGCCCAGAAGCUGUGGUGGCUCUUUUUAUUCAUUGGCUUUUAUUAGAGGCAGGUCAGUUUGCUGGUGACAGGAAAAUGUUAAAAAACACAGCAAAUAAGGCACAAACUAAAUAAGCAACAAUUGCUAUCCAAAACCUUGGAUCUUUCAGCAGUGCCUUAUCAAAGCAGCUAAACACAGUGUAACCUAUGGACAUGCCAGCGAAUCCACCUGCAAUGUGAGCUACAAAAGACACCUUUGGAGAAAAGAAAAAAAAAAAAAGAGGAAAUAAGUGAAGUUCAAAAGUGCUAAUUGUGUAUUUCAGUUGUACUUCUCUUAUUUGGACACAAAUAUUAUCACAGUCAAGCAAGCAUCUUCAAAGUCUGGAAAGUACGGGGCAUGGCAAAAGAGACACAAAACACCAUGUGCAUAGAGAGGAGGUGCUAUCCACAGGCAAAGCCCAAAAGUGUCAUUUUCACCCAUUCCCUGGGUACAUGAGACACAGAGCCAUUGUUAGGAUGGUUCUAUAUAAUACCAAUCAAGAGAAUGGGCGUUGAGUUGCCAUGAGGGAUCUGUUUAGGAACAUAAUCUGAUCAUGCAUAGAUGGGAUGUCAGAAUUAAAACAUAAGUGAUACAUAUACAAAAAUGCUCAAAUGGAAACUACCAAAUUCAAAGGCUAAUUCUAGCAAAACUGGAAAUCUUUGUCAGUUUUCUUUAUGUUGGAAAUUCAUCUGGACCAAAUUAUCAUUGUUGUUUUCCCAUUUGUUUAUUUUCUGUAGACAGUGAAAUCUCUUCUCUCCUGUAUUGUAAAAGCUACCAGUGUGGUAGAUGCAGAGAAGUAGAACCCAGUGGUCAGGGCUAUGAGUGAGUUAAAUGAGAAGGACAAUCCAAAAAUCUGAUUUCCUUAGGAAUUUUCAUAACUUCCAAAUGGAAAUUUGCCCUUAUCACAGAGUUUUUGCACCUAUUCGAGGAUCCUUUUUAGUAUUGAUAGGGAAACAUAAAUUUUCAUUUAAGGAAAGGAAUAAACUGAACUCACCAGCGGUCCGUUUGCAGGGACAAAGAACCUUCUGUAGACAGCAAAUCCCAUGUCUGACGCAACUAGUAGGAAAAACAACCUGGUGAAGCCCCAGCAUCUUCACAGCAAGAGCACCAAAUGUUUUUGGUUCCCCUCUGAUAAUAACAGCUAAUACUUAUUGAGACUUCCUUUGUGCCAGGUGCUGUUUUAAGGGUUUUACAGGUACUGACAUUAAUUGUCACAACUCUAUGAAGUUGGUACUCCCAUAUUCCCAUUUUACAGAUUUAUCCAUCCAACAACAAUUUAUUGAUUGUCCUCUGUAUGCCAAGUACUAUUCUAAGUGGUGGUUAGACAACAAUGAACAGAUCAGACAGAGAGCCCUGCCUCUUAGAGCUGAUGGUCCAGUGGAGAUAGGCAAACAAAUAAGUGAAACAUAGAGGACAUCAAAUGAUGCUAAAUGCCAUGAAGAAAAUAUACAGUGAGGAGGGAGAAUUGGGAAUGCCAGGAGUAGGGUAUAAUUUUUAAUAGGAUGCUCAUGGAGGAUCUCAUUGAGAAUUUGAUGUUUUGCUGGAAAUAAGGAGCAAGUCAUGCUGAUAAUUUAAGGUAAGAGUCCUCCAGGCAGAAGGAAGAUCACCAGUGUAAAGUCCCUUAAGCAGGAGUGUGCCUGGUGUGUUUGAGGAAUAUCAAAGCAUUAUCUGGCUGGAUUGGUGGUUUUCAAAGUGUGAUCAUCCCAAGACCAGCAGCAUCAUCUGGGGACUUGUUAGAAACAAACAUUCUCAGGCCCCAUUUCCAGGCCUAUUGAACAGAAACUCUGGGCUGGGGCUCAACAAUUUAUGUUUUAACAAAACCUCCAGGUAACCCUUGCCUAGAGCGAGAGGUAAAAUGGUAGGUGAUGAGAUCAUAGGUAGCCCAGGACAAAUCAUGUAGGAGCCUUACAGCCAUUGAAAGCUUUUUAACUUUUACUCUGUAUGAUGGGAAGACUUUGAAGGAUUUUGAGCACAGGAGUAACGUGAUCUGACUUAUGUUUUUGAAAGAGCAUUCUGGCUGCUAUGUAGAGAACAGACCACAAGGGAGUCAGUACAGAAGCAAUCCGAGUGAGGAGUGAUGGUGGCAUACAUACUGAAACUUAAGACACAGCAGUUAAGUACUUGCCCGAGGCCACACAGCUGAGAGGCAGGGGCAGGAUUUGAACCUUCAGCCUGGCUGCAGAGGCUCCCCUGGCAACUUUAAUCUACCACACUAACUGCCUGUAAUUACCAUCGGGAAUACUGAAGAUGGGCCAUGAAAGGAAAUGAGUCCACAUUCUCCAAUGGGAUUGUGAGAAUCAGGCUUGGACCUUCUUCAAAUAAGUGAGACCUGUACUGCAAAACAAGGUUCCAGGUUUCUUGGCCUAGAACUCUUGUCCUACACAUGCCUGCUCUUGGAAACAUCUCAUGCAGGCAUCACAUUCCACACCGAUUCCCCAAUUCCCUGUGCUCCACUUAGUGAGCCACAGUGUCCUAGGAGAUGCAAGGACCUUGUCCUUGCCUUUAGGAAAAUAACAUCAGCACCAUGUUUUCUGGCUAGUUUCCCUUUCAGUGCUAUAUUGAUACUGAAGUCACUGGACAGAAAUUGAGGUCGAGCAAGCACUCUAAUUAUUUAACUGUAAACAACUAUUACACAAAAUGCUCAGUAAAUGUGGCUGUAUCAUAUUUUAAACCAUCCUUUGCAUUUCCUGGUCCAGUGAAAUUAACACACAUAGGUAGGACUAUAAAAGCAGAAAGAAACAAACCACUGCCAGAAAGCAGGGCCCGCUUAUUAGAAACAGUUACUUUGAUCUAGCCUGGCUGUUUCUACAGUAGGAGGCUUCCUUUCAGAAAUGUCUUUGUAACCCUUAUCAUGUCAAUUUCUCUUUCCCACCCUCCCUUAUUUAUCUUGCUCUGUUCCUAGGUCUCUGCCUGGCUCCUCUGCUUCCUAGGGGAGUUUGCUUCUUAGUUGCUACAGCCUCCAGACUGAGACACGUCUUCCCGUCUCAAAAGAAGCCCUUAUUCCAAUGAACCGAUUCAUUUUCCUCGUUAAACAUUAGAGGCUCUUAUUUUAAGAGAGUGCCUUUAUAAUUUUUUUAAAAGGCUGAAAAUGUGAGAUUUCUUUACUUUUUCCAAAAGGGCACUCAGUUAACUUAGAAAAUAUAUCCAACAAAUAAUGCUUGAUGAAAGACGGUCCUUGAGGCCAAUUGUCUUUCAAAAUGAAGAAUAUUUACCAUUUGGGGGGGUGACUUAUAUACAUUAUUUCAAGGAAAAGUGUUUUAAUAAAAAUGUACCUGUAUUCCUUAAUUUGUAGUUUAUUUUAUUACACUAUUUAUUAUUUAUCUAACAUUAGUUAUUAUAUUUAUUAUUGGUUGGUGUGUAACUUCUCAUUCUCAGGUAAGCUUGACCAAAGGACUUUUAGAAAUGAUGUGUACCAGGAAGUGGGAAAGGUUAAUAUUCACAUAGCCUACCUACUCUUUAAGGUGUUUGUAGAAUGUAAUUAUAGUAUAAUGAAAAACUUGCCUUUGUCCCCAGUUCCUGGGGAGGUAACCUCAGAAUCUUUGAAAUUUCCAAUGAUUAAGUAGUCUUUUGUUACUCGUAAUGGGCCCUGGACCCACUUGGACUAAAGAUAUAACAGGAUGGAGCCAGCUGUACUUCUGAACUCCGGGUGCUUAAACUUCCAACAAGCUUCCAUGUGCUGGGAGAGUGAACUGUUGACUCCACGUGGAGAGGGCAUGGAAGCCUGUGGUUGAGACCCUCCCAGACCUCACUCUAGAUGUCUCUUCUUUUGGCUUCUUCUUAUUUGUAUCCUUUUACUAUAAUAAAAGUAUAAUUUAAUAGUGCUUUCAGUGAGUUCUCUGAAUCAUUUCUAGUGAAUUGAACCUG